rnacentral:tRNA from 1 species
GCAGUAUUAACUCAGUUGGUAGAGUGUCGUCCUUCCAAGUCGAAUGUCAGGAGUUCGAGUCUCCUAUACUGCU